AGUCACCGGCGUCACGAAACACGCGCUGCACGAAAAGGCACGAGUCGUUGGCGCCUCCGCAGCGGCCACAGCGGUCCUCGAGGGCACCCGAGCCCAACAACCCAUCACAGCCGGCGCUCUAAAGGGUGAAGGACAGGCGCGGCGUCACUGACGCUGGGAGGGGCAGGACCUGGGGAAAGGGCAGUGCCUGGGAGCAAGAGGACGAGGCCUGGAGGGAAGAUGGGGGUGGAGCCUAGGGAGGAGCAGGACCUGGCGGGAGGAGGAUGGGCUUGGCGCCCGGGAGUGGGUGCCUAAGGGGGGCUGGGGGCAGGGCCUGGAAGGGGAGGGGGAAGGCGGUGGAGCCUAGGGAGGGGGUGGAGGCUAAUGGGAGGAGGGCGGAGGUGGAGCCUAGGAUGGGUGGGGCCUGAGUGGGAGGUGGGCGGGGCUCGGGCGGGGCCUGACGAGUCCUUACAAGGCAGCGGCCAGCCACGCAGACCCCCUGGGCACCCGGGCUGCAGGCGGUGCCGUCCAGGACGCGGCCGAAGCUGUGGUAGAAGGCGUGCCCCUCAGCCAGGCAGUUGAGGUCGCACUGGUUGGGCGCUGAGGGCAGGAGGAGUCGGUGGGCCGGGGACCCCUGUUCGAGCUCCAGUCCCCCUCUACCAAGCUUCAUCAGGCAACCAUCACUUUGGGCAGAUGAAGCCCAGAGAUUUGGCCAAAGCCACACAUCGAGGCUGAGGCAGAGCCAGGACUGGACCGUAGGUGCUCUGCGUCCAGCAACCUGGGACUCGCAGACACUGUUCCAAGCUCUAGGAUACAGAAGCAAGAAUUCAAUCAGUGUGCAGAUGGAUGGCCUUAAAAAAGGCCAGGUGUGGUGUCUCAUGCCUGUAAUCCCAGCACAUUGGGAGGCUGAGGUGGGCAGAUCUCCUGAGGCCAGGAGUUCAAGACCAGCCUGGGCAACAUGGCGAGACCCCCCCGUCUCUACCAAAAAUACAACAAUAAAAAUUUAGCCAGGCUUGGUGGUGGGAGCCUGUAAUCCCAGCUACUCCGGAGGCUGAGGCAGGAGAAUCGCUUGAACCAGGGAGGUGGAGGCUGUAGUGAGCCAAGAUCAUGCCACUGCACUCCAGCCUGGGUGACAGAGCGAGACUCCAUCUCAAAAAAAAAAAAAAAAAAAAAAAAAGAAGAUCUGAGCAUCUGGCCCAGGCACCAGCAAGUACCCAAUGAAGUGUUUGUCCAGUACUGACUGGACUGAGUCCCGCACAACUGAGCUGUGUCGCUGGUCCUCCCUGGGCCUCAGUUUCCCCUUCUGCCUGGAAGUGGGGCAAAAUGAGCUGUCUGAUCAAACACAAAGGCCGACAGCCCUGAUCUCCACUCCUCCUUCUCCAGCUCCUUCUGGCUCCCAUUUCCCUGAGCCUGGCUGGUGGACCCUGCCUGGAACGGAUCCUGGGCUGGCCCUAGUGGGCCUCUGCGGGGGUGGGAUCACAGCAGGUUUCCUCCAAUUCUCAGAUUGAUGGAAGGAAGGAAGGGAGGGAGGGAGGGAGGGAGGGAGGAAGGAAGGGAAGGGAGAAAGGGAAGGAAGGGAAGGAAGAAAGGGAAGGAAGGAAGGAAAUGAGGUUGAUGGAUGGCACUUUGUCCAUUCUAGGCUUUUCUUAUAUCUGUGUCUGCCUUCCCCAUGGCGUGUGAAGCUGCCUGUCUCCCUGAAAUCUGGAGGCGCACUGACCCGGGCACGUAGUUAUAUAACUCGCUAUUUUCAGCUCAAUGCAGCAACAUUUCCUGCUACUGGGAUAAGUUUGAGAAGUGUUGGCCUCUGGAUACAGCUCUAAGUCAAUCCUUAGUUGGGUGUUCAGCCCUGUGCAGAAUGAACCCUGCUUCCCUCUGCCCCUGUUUCACGCCUAACAUAUGCUGUUUCUGUUUCACUAACUCCUACAUAUCCUUCAAAGCCCUAGCACUAAUACCCUCUUCUCUUUGCAACCCUCCAAGACCCUCUCCCUGAGACUAAUGAGUUGUUCGCUCUGGACCAAUUCUGACCACAGGAGACCAGACUACUCACCCCCAUGGAAGGGCACCCACUGGUAGGUCUUCUGGGUGCCCAGGACAGGGCGGCCAUUGUACAGGGCACACUGUAGGUCUCGGAAGGGCACAGCCCCUGGGGGGCAGUCCUAGGGACAGAGAUAGGUGAGCCAGAGGCUGGGACAACCCCAAGGGGCAGGUGGUGGGCUUCAGGCAGUCUGGGGUGGGAGAGUGGUCUGGGAGGUGGGCAGGGCUUACUGGCAACUGGCAGAGGCGGUACUCAUGGGAGUCUCCCCAGCACGGUUCUUCCCCAGGAAGCCUGAAGGGAGACAGAGUGUGGCGAGAACCCCCAGGGACCCCCUCCCAGGGCUGGCCUUCCACCCUCCGCCCCCGCCAACCCCACCCGCAUUCCAGCGGGAUCAGGGGGAUUAAAGGGCACAGCAUGUGUGGGCAGGCCGAGGGUGCGGCCAGGGGCCGGGCUGGGCCGGCGGGGGAGGAGGGGCAGGGACCCCCUCCGGGCCCCGCUCACCGGAGGCAGCGCCGGCUGCGCACAGAGACGCCACGCCCGCAGGAGCUGGAGCAGCGGGUCCAGGACACCCACGGGGUCCACUCGCCCGGACCCUACUUGGGGAGACAGAGGCACGGUCAGCCUUGUAGGGGGACGCUGGUGACCCCACACUGCUGACUGGGUCCCCAUUCCCACUCGCCACCCCCUGGGCUCAUGCCCCCCCUUACCUGAGCACUGACCCCCAAACCACAGUUCAGCAGGGCCCACAGGAAGAGCAGGAGGUUCUGGAAGAGGUGGGGCCUGGGGAACAGAGGGGCCGAGUCCAUAGAGCCACCGCCAGAGACACAGGGUUGUGUCCCGGCUCUGCCCUGACUGGCUGUGUGAUCUUGGAAAGUAACUAAACCUCUCUGAGCCCUACCUCUCGUCUCUGAAAAACGGGGUAAUAGAGCCUCCCUUACAGGAAAGUUGAGGGGUCCUGUGGAUCAGGUAAAGAAGACAGGAGACGUGGAGCCCGGUAUGGAGAGGAAGAACUCAGAAUGUCAUCUGCAAUUAUUAUUGUUGUUAGUUAGUUUGUUUUUGAGACGGAGUCUCGCUCUGUCGCCCAGGCUGGAGUGCAGGGGUGCGAUCUCGGCUCACUGCAACCCUCCCCGGUUCAAGUAAUUCUCCUGCCUCAGCAUCCCGAGAAGCUAGGAUUACAGGUGCCUGCCACCACGCCGGACUAAUUUUUGCCGUUUUAGUGGAGACAGGGUUUCACCAUCUUGGCCAGGUUGGUCUCAACCUUCUGACCUGAAGUGAUCCACCUGCUUUGGCCUCCCAAAGUGCUAGGAUUAUAGGCAUGAGCCACUGCACCCAGCCUACAAUAUUAUUGAUAUGUGUAUUGUGCUAUAAUGCAGACAGUAGGUGCUUAAUCGAUGCUUGAUGAUUGGAGGGAUCAUUCAAAAAUAGUACACAGGUGCCUCCUAGGGCUGGGGCCCCCUCCCCGCCCUCCCCACCAUCACUGCUUCUACCUUUCCGUGUGGCCUGAGGCCAGCCACUCCACUCUCCCAGGCCUCAGUUUCCCCAUCUGUGCAGUGGGGGCCAAGUGGACUCAGUCCAUGAUUCUGUGACACCCUGCGGAAGGUGCGGCCGGCAGGGGCUGGAUCAGGAGUUGGGUCCCUAGAAGAGGCCCUCAGCUGCACCCCGGCCCCAGGGCUCCCUCAGCUCCCAGACAGCAGGGAGUCCCCCGGAUUGGGGAUGGGACAGGGAGGGGGUGACCUGGCCCAGGUCCGUUCGGUGCCUCAUGGCCUCAUCGGCGGAGGGGGUGGGACUGAGCUCCGGGGCAGCCCGUGGAGGGAAGGGGCCACUGCUGAGGCUGGAGCAGGGAAGGGGAGGAGGCUGACUGCCUCUCUGGGCCUUAGUUUCUCCAUCCUGUCAGGGCAGGGAUGAAGUCACUUGCCAUCCACACCCUCCUCAUGACCCCAGCCUGCAGGGGGAAAGAGGGGGGAAGGGAAGCAGCCGCCAAGUGAGCCAGGGCGUCCUGCUGCCAGCAGAGCCUGAAGGCAGGUGGGUGAGCCCCGGCCCGGGCACCAGCUGGGGAAGAGGCUGGGUCCCACCUGGACCCUGUUUCCCUGGCUCCAGCAUUUGGACUUCUGAGGCACCAAGGGUCUAGGGUCCUGGGUAUCUCUAGGUACUGAGACAGCUGUGUGGUCUGCUGCAUCCGUGCCCCUCUCUGAGCCUAGAGCCUGGGCUGGCCCAGGAAGCAGGAAGAAGUCUGCACCAGAAACUUAAAACAAGGGGAGGGGGGCCAGGUGCGGUGGCUCACGCCUGUAAUCCCAGCACUUUGGGAGGCCAAGACAGGCGGAUCACCUGAGGUCAGAAGUUUGGGACCAGCCUGACCAACAUGGUAAAACCCCAUCUGUACUAAAACACAAAAAUUAGCCCGGUGUGGUGGUGCACACCUGUAAUCCCAGCUACUUGGGAGGCUAAGGCAGGAGAAUCGCUUGAACCCAGGAGGCGGAGGUUGCAGUGAGCCGAGAUGGGGCCAAUGCACUCCAGCCUGGGCGACAUAGUGAGACUCAGUCUCAAAAACAACCAACCAACCAAAAAAAACAGGGGGAGGGGGCUUGACCUUCUGACCACCCCCACCGGACUCUAAGCCUGGUUUGAGGAGUGGGGGUCUAGGUGGUGAAAAGUGGGGGGCUACAAGGACCACCCUACCCCCUCCUCAAUGGGCCCUGCCCAGAAUCAAGGCUCUCCCCUCCCCGUGUGGGC
rnacentral:lncRNA from 1 species